ACACCGGCAGCUCUAGUGGUAGCAGUUUUUAUUGGGCCUAAAGCGUCCGUAGCCGGUUUAAUAAGUCUCUGGUGAAAUCCUGUAGCUUAACUGUGGGUAUUGCUGGAGAUACUAUUAGACUUGAGACCGGGAGAGGUUAGAGGUACUCCCAGGGUAGAGGUGAAAUUCUGUAAUCCUGGGAGGACCGCCUGUUGCGAAGGCGUCUAACUGGAACGGUUCUGACGGUGAGGGACGAAAGUUAGGGGCGCGAACCGGAUUAGAUACCCGGGUAGUCCUAACUGUAAACGAUGCGGACUUGGUGUUGGGGUGGCUUUGAGCUGCUCCAGUGCCGAAGGGAAGCUGUUAAGUCCGCCGCCUGGGAAGUACGGUCGCAAGACUGAAACUUAAAUGAAUUGGCGGGG
rnacentral:rRNA from 1 species